CAUCGUGCUGGUGCACGACGCGGCGCGGGCGCUCACCCCGCCCGCGCUCGUCGAGGCGGUGGCGGCAGCCGUCCGGGCCGGCCACGACGC
rnacentral:tRNA from 1 species